rnacentral:rRNA from 1 species
CGCUAGACGUGCGAGGGACCAUAUCUGUCCGUAAGAUAUUGUCGGACAAUUUCGCCGCACACCAAAUAUCCCUGUGAGUCUUCCCAAAUAAACAAAAGAAUGGGCGGACCCGCACAAGCGUUGGGGCAUGUGUUUAUUCGAAGCAACGGGAAGACCUUACCCAAGUCUUGACAUCCAACUGACAGAGGAAGUAAUGUUCCUUUCCUUCGGGCAGUGAGACAGGUGGUGCAUGGUGUCGUCAGCUCGUGUCGUGAGAUGUUGGGUUAAGUCCCGCAACGAGCGCAACCCUUAUCUUUAGUAGCCAGCAUUUCGGGUGGGCACUCUAGAGAGACUGCCGGGGAUAACCCGGAGGAAGGUGGGGAUGACGUCAAAUCAUCAUGCCCCUUAUGAUUUGGGCUACACACGUGCUACAAUGGCGUAAACAAAGGGAAGCGACCCUGUGAGGGCGAGCAAAUCCCAAAAAUAACGUCUCAGUUCGGAUUGUAGUCUGCAACUCGACUACAUGAAGCUGGAAUCGCUAGUAAUCGCGGAUCAGAAUGCCGCGGUGAAUACGUUCCCGGGUCUUGUACACACCGCCCGUCACACCAUGGGAGUCGGAAAUGCCCGAAGUCAGUGACCUAACCGCAAGGAGGGAGCUGCCGAAGGCAGGUCGGAUAACUGGGGUGAAGUCGUAACAAGGUAGCCGUAUCGGAAGGUGC